rnacentral:rRNA from 1 species
UGCCAGCCGCCGCGGUAAUACGGAGGGUGCAAGCGUUGCUCGGAAUUACUGGGCGUAAAGCGCACGCAGGCGGUUUAUCAGGUCGGAUGUGAAAGCCCAGGGCUCAACCCUGGAACUGCAUUCGAAACCGGUAGACUUGAGUUCGAGAGAGGGUGGUGGAAUUCCUGGUGUAGAGGUGAAAUUCGUUGAUAUCAGGAGGAACACCGGUGGCGAAGGCGGCUCACUGGCUCGAUACUGACGCUGAGGUACGACAGUGUGGGGAGGAAACAGGAUUAGAUA